CAUGGCGGCUGCUACCAUGCAGUCGAACGUGAUCCGCCCUUCGGGGUGGUGAAAGUGGCGCACGGGUGAGUAACGCGUGGAUAAUCUGCCCGAGGAUUUGGGAUAACAUCUCGAAAGGGGUGCUAAUACCGAAUAAGCCCACGGGGUCUACGGAUCUUGCGGGAAAAGGGGGGGACCUUCGGGCCUCCUGUCCUUGGAUGAGUCUGCGUACCAUUAGCUAGUUGGUGGGGUAAUGGCCUACCAAGGCGACGAUGGUUAGCUGGUCUGAGAGGAUGAUCAGCCACACUGGAACUGAGACACGGUCCAGACUCCUACGGGAGGCAGCAGUGGGGAAUUUUGCGCAAUGGGGGAAACCCUGACGCAGCAACGCCGCGUGGGUGAUGAAGGCCUUCGGGUCGUAAAGCUCUGUCUGGAGGGAAGAAAUGAUUGGGAGCUAAUACCUCUUGAUCUUGACGGUACCUCUGAAGGAAGCACCGGCUAACUCCGUGCCAGCAGCCGCGGUAAUACGGAGGGUGCAAGCGUUGUUCGGAAUUAUUGGGCGUAAAGCGCGUGUAGGCGGUCUUUUAAGUCUGAUGUGAAAGCCCCGGGCUCAACCUGGGAAGUGCAUUGGAAACUGGGAGGCUUGAGUACGGGAGAGGAGAGUGGAAUUCCUAGUGUAGGAGUGAAAUCCGUAGAUAUUAGGAGGAACACCGGUGGCGAAGGCGGCUCUCUGGACCGAUACUGACGCUGAGACGCGAAAGCGUGGGUAGCAAACAGGAUUAGAUACCCUGGUAGUCCACGCCGUAAACGAUGAGUACUAGGUGUUGCGGGUAUUGACCCC
rnacentral:rRNA from 1 species